rnacentral:rRNA from 1 species
GACGAACGCUGGCGGCGUGCUUAACACAUGCAAGUCGAACGGAAAGGCCUGCUUUCCCUUGUGGAUUGCGGGUACUCGAGUGGCGAACGGGUGAGUAACACGUGAGUGAUCUGCCCCCAACUUGGGUAUAAGCCUGGGAAACUGGGUCUAAUUCCCGAUAGGACUGCAGGGUGGUGCCUGUGGUGGAAAACGAUUUUCUAGUGGUUGGGGAUGAGCUCGCGGCCUAUCAGCUUGUUGGUGGGGUAAUGGCCUACCAAGGCGGCGACGGGUAGCCGGCCUGAGGGGGUGGACGGGCACAUUGGGAAUGAGAGACGGCCCAGAAUCCGACGGGAGGCAGCAGUGGGGAAUAGUGGAAAAUGGGCGGAAGCCUGAUGCAGCGACGCCGCGUGGGGGAUGACGGCCUUCGGGUUGUAAACUCCUUUCGACCGCGAGGAAGCCACCUGGUUGGAAGGGUGGUGACGGUAGUGGUAGAAGAAGCACCGGCUAACUACGUG